rnacentral:rRNA from 1 species
CAGUCGCCGCGGUAAUACGUAGGUGGCAAGCGUUGUCCGGAAUUAUUGGGCGUAAAGGGCUCGCAGGCGGUUUCUUAAGUCUGAUGUGAAAGCCCCCGGCUCAACCGGGGAGGGUCAUUGGAAACUGGGAAACUUGAGUGCAGAAGAGGAGAGUGGAAUUCCACGUGUAGCGGUGAAAUGCGUAGAGAUGUGGAAGAACACCGGUGGCGAAGGCGGCGACCUGGUCUUUUACUGACGCUGAGGCGCGAAAGUGUGGGGAGCAAACAGGAUUAGAUACCCCCGUAGUCCCUGUCUCUUAUAC